CAAUGAAAGUCGCACGAUCAGGCAUAGAGUGAAAAAGAGGCCAGAAAGUACCAUUGCAGCACCCAUUGUAGUACGAAUCAAAUAUAGCCGGUUCAACGUGUACAGCAACAACCUGCAUCAAAGUAAUAUGACGGGGGAUUUAAUCUAGUGAGAAAUAAUAAAAAUGCAAAAAAGAAGAGUGACGAUGUCGUGCGAGGAAAACAGUCGAUAUCACCGUAAUCGGAAGUGCAUAAAGUCCAGACGUAACGAGCCCGAUAAAAGUUAUUGUUUUUAGUAUUUUUCUAAAGAUUUUGACCCCCACGCCAUGCCUCCUCCUGCUCAUCGUUAAUUGGUUAUUAUACGAAGAAUGAAUCGCUUAUUAUUCACUAGUAACAUCCCAUUCUUUAUGCUACCGAAGCCAUCAAAACACCUCGUAUACUCGGAACUAUUGACGCAAGCUGCAAUCGCCUUUCCGAUAAGCUAAUAUUUCGCUCCUUAGACACAACUUUAAGUCGCGCAUCGGUACGUUAUUAUCAUGAGUAGUACGAUUGCGACUUUACACAAUAGGGAGAGAUCAACAAGGAAUAUUGAAGUGAUCUCGGAGCACAGAUAUAAAAUACACUAGAUUAGUAUUUUAAGAUAGCGACGUGAUAACUUAUCGUCAAACGUCAAGAUUGACUCGUCCAAGAUACACGUGGCUCUAGAUUACAAAUUGAAGAUUUAUAGAUGAAAUUCAAUUCACUUUUCUCUAACACGACACGCUAGACUGGAUAUGCGGGUGACAUUGACCUUUCUACGGCCUAGUGACAAUAUCAGCCCGAUAUUCAAGGCAUCCAGCUUCUGGUAUCGCGAAAAAAAUUGCAUAACGCCGAUACGCGAUUCCGUUGACCUAGUCAGUUUACGUGAUUGGCGACAAAACCAGCAGCUAAAUUGCAAGCAAUCGUAAUCGUGAUCCAUCAAGGGGAUAACAGUAUUGGCGAGGAGGGAUAAUUCCAGUGGAUCAAAACUAUCACGUAAUGACUCAUCAUCCUCAUUAAGGUCGCAAUAUCAUCAACGGUACUGGAUCAUACAUCAGUUUUGGAAUCCGAGUGAGAUUCCGCAUCUAUACAAUUAAGAAAGAUCAUCUUGUGACCGUCCAUGUGAAUUAGGACUUAUCACAAGAAACUUGGGGCCGCGAAUGAUAACGGUGUUAACUACGCACGUCAUUCAACUGAUAACCCCUCUGAACUCUGAUGAUGUCGAUCACGACAUUCGAUCGUUGCCUCUUCGGGUACUGAUUGUGUGACUGGUACCAGGUCACACGGAGGUUCGCAUAUGGGUCGCGCAGCUGUCAAUCCUUAAAGUGUAGAAAAAAUGUACGGAUGAAAUUGGAUUUCUGGGAUAGUUUCUUUUUAUCUUUUUUUCAGGUAUUGGAUAUACGUAAAAUUUGGAUAAAAGAACGAGAGCAGCGUGAAAGAUUGACUUGCAAGAGACUAUGGGAAAAUAGGUUGGAAAAUACCGAUAAGAACUUCCGUUUGAACUCCCUUUUGUUUCCUAAAUUCAUUGGCUUCCCGUUUGAGGCACGAAUUAAUCGGUUCGCAUUGAUUACCCAGUCAAAGUUCAAAGAUCUGCUGCACAUCAUAGCUGUAUUAUGGAAAAAAAAUUAUUGUUAGGAAAUUCUGAAGAACAGAUCAACCACUGCUCCUCUGCGUGCUGCAUGUAUAUGAGAUACUGAACAAAUUUAAAAACAAGGAAACAUAAAUAAGACUUGAUAACAAAAAUACUUGAAAAUCCGUGAGUCGUUAUGUCAAUACCGCCAAUGUCCUACGUCUGUCCUUAUCCACGUGAUCAUCACGAUCUCACGAGUGAUCGUUCUGACGAGAGCACCAAUAAAAAAUAAAGAAUGGAAAUAAACAUCGUUUAAGAAUUCCGCAUUACUUGACGAUCCAGAUAUAAAACAUCGCUUAUGCAGUCACAUCCAGUAACGAAGACCACUGAUAGUAGAAUUAUCAUCGAUCUCCCACAGCUAUGUGCUUUACGCACAGAGAUGCAAUAUCCGUUGCUGUACACGUGGGAUAUCAGCGCCACCAAUUUUCUUGGACGGCCUCUUUUCGUACUAGAUUCUUUAUCAGUACCUACACUGUUCGAUAUGUGAUUCGUGCACGAACGUAGGGAACUGAAUCACACGGAAUACACGCCGCGGAUAUUUUUAGUACGUGAUGAGUUCUAAAAUCAAAUACCUACUGACAUUCAGACGUCAUAUCCAUUUCGAUCGUAAAAAAACUAGAUCAUUCUCUGUUUAACGACUUUCACGUGAGCGCAAGACGGCAAAUACCAUCACUCUGCAAAAAGUCUACAAUCGCAACUGCCUUGUAUUAAUCCUUUCAGUGCGCAGCUCUUCAAAUUUAACGCCUGCCGGAGGAGAAACGUCUUCCAAUUUUGCUCCUGGGAAUAGCUAACAAGAAGAAGCGACCUUCGCAAUGAAUCCAACAUUCAUUCUUUAAGCGUCCUGAAGCCACGUAAAUCACACGCUUCAUGUGUAAACGUUUUUACUGUGUAACCGAGGAGGGCCGAGGAGGAGAAGGCUCAGGCAGAUUAUCUGAUUCAUGGUGAUAUUUUGGGGUAACCUAACCUAACCUACUUGGGAAAGGUGAUCUGGUAAUCGCAGGGUCAUAGGUUAUGUAUCGUUAAAGAUUUUCUACUCUUGACCACUGGUGCGGUCCACGAUCAACCCUCGGAUAACAACAAAGCCAAUAGACACAUAAUUAGGUGUAUGAACUAUGCGCCGUGAUAAAGAAAUACCGAAGAACGUGAUUGCCAUUAAUCACUGGAUAAAUGUGAAGUAAUACACGUAUGACUAUGUAAGUGCGCGAUAAGAGAGUCAAGAAGAAUUAUACAGCAAAGACGUUCCUUCUUCAUACCGAAUCGUCAUAACCAGCAGAGACAGUGUGGACAACGCUUUAAAUAGAAACCUGAACUCCGGACAAUAAAAAAAAAAAACUUGCGACACUCUACAAACAGCCACUACAUCGUUACUGCUUACCGAACACCCUUGGACUCGGAGUAAAGAAAUGUGAAGUAAGAGAUGAAAAUUCGUACUCGGUAUUUCCGUUUCGAUUAUUUAAAUCGUGUCUGGACACGAUAUCUUGAAAGUCAAUAAAGCAACUGUUCGAAAGGACUUUAUUCAGCGGAGUUCAUGACUCCGGUAGUGUGCAGUACCAGAGAAUGCUACUGGCAGGUCAAUUCACCAUUAGGACGGUUUAACAUUCUAGAGCGUCAAUCACGUAACCGUUCAGCGUCACUCUUCCACGUAGUGUGGUUGGUAGGAGUGCGCGGAGGAAAAUGAGCCUUUGAAAGCUGAGCGAAUCGGUGAGUCGAGCACGCAGCGAUAGCUGUAAAUAUACUAUCGAUGUCAAGGUUAGCCUAAAAAAACUGUAAGCUUGGACAUCUCACAUACGACGAAGUCAAGGGACAACUGUUUGUGUGUACAAUCGAUCUCUUACGUGAAACUGCGAACUCGCUCGAGCCGCGACUAAUUAUAAUUAACAGGAUUAAUUUAAGGGCUAAACGUGAUAUAUUAUCAUAAUUCACGUACCUUGCGCGAGAGAAGACCGGCAGUCGGGGUACGAUCGUUCGGAUCGGAUUCAGGAAUCGGUUCGUUCGGAUUUUCCAUAUGCAUACCAGGCCAUCCUACCCAUACUCCAUUUCCGUUUAUUACGACUGGAGCUACGGCUGUGACAAGACCUCCGGCGCUGUAAAAAUAAAAGGAAAAAAAUCCGGAAGAAAGAUAUCACGAGUUUCAUAUUAUUUUCGAAUACCGAUACCGUCUCAGAUUAUUCAACGAUCCUCAGGCCUCAGGUUAUCACUACCAACCAUUAACCAUUCGAUCUCCGUAACUGCGGACGCCGCAUUGAGCACGUACGAUUUUGAGGUUAAAUUUUGUGUUGGCAAACAAUUAUGAAUCAGCCGGUCGACGGGUAUCGCUAAAAUAUACACCGAACGACGUUGCCGUUAUCUCGGAGGAAAAAAUCAACAUUAUACGAAUAAUCGAGACACUGAAAGCCUUAAAUAAAAAUGUAACAAGUACAAACUGUCACUCUCCUUGUAAGCUUGAAAGAUAUAAUACUAGUACGUAAGAAACUUGCGGAAAUUCCAAUACGAACUAAAAGACGACCUUGCGCAAUAUGCCAAUUAAGAUUGAGAAAAACAUAGCAGAUUAGACCGUAUGAAUUUCUGUUGACUCUCUCGAUAAGUCGACAUAGCCAUUAGCCGUAUAGCAAUCGUACAUUUUUUUCCAACAAUUUCAUUAUCGUGCCCAUCCCCAAGCCCUCCCGUACAGUUUUUAUGGUAAACUUGCAGAAAUCAAUGUUGUCUAACAUAGUUGCUGCUCAAUUGUGUAAUCGCACGACUUCCUAUCGGCAAUCGAAAUAUCAUAGAGGUUAAAAGUUCACACGCCCUUUUCAAUUCUCCGCUCGCUUAUAUGACGCAAGUUUCGUAGAUCAACUUUUUUUAGGAUCCAUGCGUCGAUAACAAUUUUGGAACGAUAAACGAUGCCUCGUGUCAACGAAUCAUUGUUUACUCUAUUCUAUCUGUAUUUUUUUACAUACUUUUUUUUUCUCACUGAUGUUCACCGGCUUCACUAAGAUUCUAUAUAUUUUUCAUAGAGAUUAAAAGAAAAAAAAAAAAUUCAUAGAUUCGUUCCACGUAACUGCUGCAACUCGCGCGUGAUACCAAUAAUAAUGAUAACAACGUACAUAGAGAGUAUCCAGUUAUCAAUAUACUCAGCGAUAAAGAACCCUUCGUAAUUACAACCGACAAUUGUCAAUCGUUCAUGAAACACUGACAGUUUGUUUAUUAAAAAAAAUACGCUAACAAAACAAUCGAUCCAAGUCCAUAUCGUACCAAUACACCGUUAGGAGGAUAAUGGCAAAUAAUCGAAUCUUGAAAUAAAAAAAAAAACAAUCCAGCUUCAAGACGCAUCCAUUAAUAUUAUGAUUAUCCCGAUAGUUGAAGUCCUUGUUUAUUCAUUAUUCACAGACUCUCGGACGAGUUCAACAAACUUUAUAUUUACAUACGGAGCAUCGAUGCAUACUUGUCGGCAUAUGGACAUGUAAAGUCUUACGAAACACUCAAAUAUCUACGCCAUAAGACAUAUUUGAUCGUAAAUUUUUGAAAGCAACACUUUCUGUGUCUCCUCGUUUACUCUCUUCGCGAUCCAAGGUUACAAUGUAGUAUCAUGUAGUACAAGAUAAAACGACCGUCUAAACAAUGAAAUACAUUAUCGGCCAGACAGUUGAUCCACGUCUCUUUAAUUUUGCCCUCAAACAAGGAACUAGUCGAUAUACGUGGCUCUAGCUGUUACGAAAGAAAAUCCAAAAGAUUAAUCAUCACGGUGGAUUAGCCAGUCUGACUGAUAAGCACGAGUUAAAUCGUUUCGUCUGAUAUGCGUGAUUGUCGUAUCGAUUAAAAUUCCUAAGGAUACGCGAAGAAUUCGUAAAUUAAAUCAUCACUGAAUCACGUGUACACGAAGCGAAUGAUGAGGCAUUAAAGUGGCGUGUUGUUUCUUAGGAAUGCAAUAGGCUCGCAUGCACGUGACGUUGAACAGACUUGUAUACAUAUAGUAGG